rnacentral:tRNA from 2 species
GCCCAGAUGAUGAAAUUGGUAGACAUGCUACUUUGAGGUGGUAGUGGCUUUACGGCUGUGCAGGUUCGAAUCCUGUUCUGGGCA